GUGGCUGUAGCUCAGUUGGUUAGAGCGUCUGGUUGUGGCCCAGAAGGUCGCCGGUUCGAGCCCGGUCAGUCACCCCA
rnacentral:tRNA from 1 species